AUUGAACGCUGCGGCAGGCCUCACACAUGCAAGUCGCGCGGAUGAAGGGAGCUUGCUCCUGGAUUCAGCGGCGGACGGGUGAGUAAUGCCUAGGAAUCUGCCUGGUAGUGGGGGAUAACGUCCGGAAACGGGCGCUAAUACCGCAUACGUCCUGAGGGAGAAAGUGGGGGAUCUUCGGACCUCACGCUAUCAGAUGAGCCUAGGUCGGAUUAGCUAGUUGGUGGGGUAAAGGCCUACCAAGGCGACGAUCCGUAACUGGUCUGAGAGGAUGAUCAGUCACACUGGAACUGAGACACGGUCCAGACUCCUACGGGAGGCAGCAGUGGGGAAUAUUGGACAAUGGGCGAAAGCCUGAUCCAGCCAUGCCGCGUGUGUGAAGAAGGUCUUCGGAUUGUAAAGCACUUUAAGUUGGGAGGAAGGGCAGUAAGUUAAUACCUUGCUGUUUUGACGUUACCAACAGAAUAAGCACCGGCUAACUUCGUG
rnacentral:rRNA from 1 species